AGGCCUUGACAUGGGGAGUUUGGUUUCCAGAGAUGGAUUCCUUCAGUUUGGCUGGCUCCCACAC
rnacentral:rRNA from 1 species